rnacentral:rRNA from 1 species
GUGGGGAAUUUUGGACAAUGGGGGCAACCCUGAUCCAGCCAUUCCGCGUGAGUGAAGAAGGCCUUCGGGUUGUAAAGCUCUUUCGUCAGGAACGAAACGGCGGGCUCUAACAUAGCCUGUUAAUGACGGUACCUGAAGAAGAAGCACCGGCUAACUACGUGCCAGCAGCCGCGGUAAUACGUAGGGUGCGAGCGUUAAUCGGAAUUACUGGGCGUAAAGCGUUCGCAGGCGGAUUGUUAAGCAAGACGUGAAAUCCCCGGGCUUAACCUGGGAAUGGCGUUUUGAACUGGCAGUCUAGAGUGCGUCAGAGGGGGGUGGAAUUCCACGUGUAGCAGUGAAAUGCGUAGAGAUGUGGAGGAACACCGAUGGCGAAGGCAGCCCCCUGGGAUGACACUGACGCUCAUGUACGAAAGCGUGGGUAGCAAACAGGAUUAGAUACCCGGGUAGUCC